UUCACUCCCAGUAGCCGUAGAAAACAGAACGUCUCCACGUGGACUUCAGACAGCAUCAGUUAAUAGAUAAACAUUGUAUGUAUCUAGUGUGAGCUAUAGAGAUCCACUUCCCCCGCCUUCACACAAACACAUUCCUGAGAUAAGGGAAGCGGGCAGGACAUCAUGCAGAGAACCCACCCACCCAUACAGGGUGGGGGAUGAGGUGGUAGUCGAAACACUGAAGGAAGGAAGAGCUCAAGGUGAUUUCGCAUAUGGCCCACCUACUACCGUGGUUGCAGUAACCAGAACAGCUGUGCUGACUGAACAAUCUCCAAUUUGGAUCCACGCCACCCGAGUGAAGCUUGUGAGAGAAAGAGAGGAGGCAGGAAACGGAGGCAGACAGCCUUGAAGAAGGACGAGAGGUACUAACGGGGGCAGACAGCCCUGACCUCCAACGAGGCCCAGAGGUACUAACGGAGGCAGACAGCCUUGACCUCGAAGAAGAUACAGAAGGGGUACUAACGAAGGCAGACAGCCUUGACCCCCAACGAGAUGACGCAGUCGGGAAAUUCCUCGAGAUGGCUGAAAUGUAGUGCCUUGAUAAUUGCAGUCCCCACCCCAGUAGAUGUAUGAACGGGGCUCCAAUGUUCCCAAGCGAAUGACACAGAUUUACAGGAUCAUGAUGUAAAAUAUGGAUAUGUAAAUCCUUAUCACGCUUGUUAUGACUGUCCUACAUAUGAGACUCUACAAAGUAAUAUGAUAGAAAUAAUCACAGGUCUUGUUACAGCGGCAGGAAUAUGUUAUAAUGUGAUGAGACACUAUUGCCUCCCUGCAUACAAGCAAAAAUGCAGAACAAGAGUAAGACAAAUAUUUGUGAUAUCGAUCUAGGUAACUGUAAAAGGAUAGUAAAGAAUAUGCAAUAUAAUAUCACAAAAACAGUACCAUCCCUAGAUAAACAUGUACCUCCACCAACAGGAUGGGUAUUGUCCUGUGGAAAUACUAGUCACACAUAUAUACCAGCCAAUAUUACAGAGGGACCCUGUACAAUAGCUAGGCUGACAUUAGCAAUGAUACCACUAGUCCCAGCAAUGCAGACACGACACACGAGAGACACUUCCCUACAGCUACCGGAAAAUUGUGACUAUAAUGUGAAUCUCCUCUCUAGAGCAGAAUACAUGAGUUAAGGGGUAUCUUUGAUAGGGGUACCAGGGUUGGCCAUAUAUAACCACAGGACAAUAUCAAAACUUGCCUGCUUUAUGGUAAAACAGAUAGAUGUCACUAGUGCGGUUCUGAAAGAUAUGCUGCUGGAUAUACAAUCAUAUGAAAAAUCUAUCUAGAACAGAAUAGGGCAACUAUUGACUAUUUAUUGCUCCAACAUGGUGUAGGAUGCUCAGCGUUCACAGGGAUGUGUUGUUUUAAUUUAUAUGACCAUUCCAGAUCAAUCCAAUCCCAUAUUCAAUCGUUACAUGACAUAGCCAAUAAUAUUAAGACGGAUGUUGAUUCAUCCUCCUGGUGGGACUGGUUAUUGAGCUGGAUGCCGGAUUUGAGUUGGUUAAGAAAAUUAUUUGUUAGUAUUAUAAUCAUAAUUGCCUCCUUGAUCAUGAUAUGUUGCUGUAUCCAAUGUAUACCGUCAUUAAUUAAUACAUUUAGGAGAUUUAGGCAAGUCCCAGAUACACCACAAGCUGUAUAUAUUCAGAUACCUCACGAAAACCCUGGGUCUCCAGAGGACUACCAGCAAUAUUUACAGAAAUAUUUUGAAAGGAAAAACAAGAAAGGAACAAAAUGAAAAACCCACAUUAUAUAUGUAAAUGGGUUUUAUAGAAGGGAUUGAAGGGUUCUAUUUAAGUCCAAAGCCUAUUUUUGAUAUAAGCUUAUAUUUCAUCAUGAUCUAUACAUUAAUACACGAACACAUGAACACGUAGCGGUCAAAGUUCUUGAGUGACUGCCACUAAGAGGUUUUGCUCACAUGUCACAUAUAGCCUUGGACUCUAAUAAACGAUAAGAUAACUUAAAGGUGUAGCCGGCUAAGACGCCUGUUACUGGUUAACUUAAACGUCAUGUCAUGUUCUACUAUAUAUGCCUAAGAAAUCCAUAAUAAACUUAGAGUGAUAUUUUGAACUA